GGCGCCGGCGGUGCGGCGAUCGUGCCGCCGCUCGAAGCGGCGUCAUUCCGAAGUGAGGGUCGCCCGGCCGGCGUUCAAGCCUCGUCGUCGACGUCG
rnacentral:tRNA from 1 species